CAUCGCGAGAUAGAAUCUGAAGGAAGCCGAUGGCAAAUAUCUGGGCCAGCGAACAGAAACUUCAUACAAGGCAUUUGACUACAGAUUAGGUUGCCAAACAAACUAAAUAGUUAUUCGGAGUGGUUGGUGUAAAUGAAGUGGGCAUAAGAUAGCAAGAU
rnacentral:ncRNA from 1 species